rnacentral:lncRNA from 1 species
UUGAGUGGGCCAGGUGUUCCCAUCCUUUUUGGGGUGUGCAUCUGAUACCCAACAUUUGCUGAUGGGAAAUAAGGAAUCCAUAUGUUCCCUUUCGGGUUUGGUGGGAUUAAUGACAGGUUCUUCAGAGAGGAGGCACUUGGGAGAACAAUGUUCUCUGAAUCAUAAAAAGGAGGGCCAAAACUAGAGGGAUAUAUGGUCUCUUAGUCGGAAAAGGAUUGAAAUCUUCUAAGAGUUUUAUGUAAGAGAUGCUUAGAUCUGAAGUUACAUAUGAUGCCUUCAGCGAUGACGUAUGUUGAGUAUAUAGUUUUCCAAUUUUCAUCAACAUAUUAUGACAAGAUGAUAAGUUAUUGAAA